rnacentral:rRNA from 1 species
AUUGAACGCUGGCGGCAUGCUUUACACAUGCAAGUCGGACGAGUGGCGAACGGGUGAGUAACGUAUCGGAAUGUACCGGGUGAGGGGGGAUAACUGUUCGAAAGGAUAGCUAAUACCGCAUACUAUUCGAGCGGCCGAUGUCUGAUUAGCUUGUUGGGGGGGUAAAGGCCCACCAAGGCGACGAUCAGUAGCGGGUCUGAGAGGAUGAUCCGCCACACUGGGACUGAGACACGGCCCAGACUCCUACGGGAGGCAGCAGUGGGGAAUUUUGGACAAUGGGCGCAAGCCUGAUCCAGCCAUGCCGCGUGUCUGAAGAAGGCCUUCGGGUUGUAAAGGACUUUCAGCGGGGAGGCGUUACCCGCAGAAGAAGCACCGGCUAACUCCGUGCCAGCAGCCGCGGUAAUAC